rnacentral:snoRNA from 1 species
CAACGUGAUGAACAUGAUGUCGCCCCAAUCGGAAAUUUAUUGACGAUUCGACUUUCAGCCAAACACACACAAUUCUGAGA